CCUACGUGUGGCAGCAGUGAGGAAUAUUGGUCAAUGGCCGAGAGGCUGAACCAGCCAAGUCGCGUGAGGGAAGAAUGUCCUAUGGAUUGUAAACCUCUUUUGCCGGGGAGCAAGGGCGGGGACGUGUCCCGGCCCGGAGAGUACCCGGAGAAAAAGCAUCGGCUAACUCCGUGCCAGCAGCCGCGGUAAUACGGAGGAUGCGAGCGUUAUCCGGUUUUAUUGGGUUUAAAGGGUGCGUAGGCGGGCUUUUAAGUCAGCGGUAAAAAUUCGGGGCUCAACCCCGUCCGGCCGUUGAAACUGGGGGCGUUGAGUGGGCGAGAAGAAGGCGGAAUGUGUGGUGUAGCGGUGAAAUGCAUAGAUAUCACGCAGAACCCCGAUUGCGAAGGCAGCCUUCCGGCGCCCUACUGACGCUGAGGCACGAAAGUGCGGGGAUCGAACAGGAUUAGAUACCCCUGUAGUC
rnacentral:rRNA from 1 species